GAUGAACGCUGGCGGUAUGCUUAACACAUGCAAGUCGAACGAGGUAGACACCCUGUAAGGGGUGUUUGCUGUAGUGGCGAACGGGUGCGUAACGCGUAAGAACCUGCCUUUCGGAAAGGGAUAACAUUUGGAAACGAUUGCUAAUACCUAAUAUGCUGAGAAGCGAAACGGGUUAAAACCGCCGAGAGAGGGGCUUGCGUCUGAUUAGCUAGUUGGUGGGGGUAAUGGCCUCCCAAGGCCACGAUCAGUAGCUGUUCUGAGAGGAUGACCAGCCACACUGGGACUGAGACACGGCCCAGACUUCUACGGGAGGCAGCAGUGAGGAAUUUUCCGCAAUGGGCGAAAGCCUGACGGAGCAAUACCGCGUGGAGGAAGAAGGACCGUGGUUCGUAAACUCCUUUUACCAGAGAAGAAGAUCUGACGGUAUCUGGUGAAUAAGCCCCGGCUAACCUCGUGCCAGCAGCCGCGGUAAUACGAGGGGGGCAAGCGUUAUCCGGAAUGAUUGGGCGUAAAGCGUCUGUAGGUGGUUUAUGAAGUUCCCUGUCAAAUAUCAGGGCUCAACCUUGAGAAGGCAGUGAAGUACUCAUAAACUAGAGUACGGUAGGGGUAGAGGGAACUCCGCGUGGAGCGGUGAAAUGCGUAGAGAUGCGGAGGAACACCAGUGGCGAAGGCGCUCUACUGGGCCGUUACUGACACUGAGAGACGAAAGCUAAGGCAGUGAAAAGGAUUAGAGACCCUUGUAAUCUUAGCUGUAAACGAUGGAAACUAAGUGCUGCCGAAUGCAGUGCUGUAGCUAACGCAUUAAGUUUCCCGCCUGGGGAGUAUGCUCGCAAGGGUGAAACUCAAAGGAAUUGACGGGGGCUCGCACAAGUGGUGGAUUAUGCGGAUUAAUUCGAUGCAACGCGAAGAACCUUACCAGGGUUUGACAUGCUCAGAAUUUUUUAGAAAUAGAAAAGUGCCAGCAAUGGAGCUGAGUCACAGGUGGUGCAUGGCUGUCGUCAGCUCGUGUCGUAAGAUGUAUGGUUAAGUCCUGCAACGAGCGCAACCCUCGUCUUUAGUUACCUAUAUGGUUCUUUAAAGAGACUGCCAGUGUAAGCUGGAGGAAGGUGAGGAUGACGUCAAGUCAGCAUGCCCCUUACACCCUGGGCGUCACGCGUAAUACAAUGGUCGGGACAAUCAGAAGCGAUCCUGCGAAGUCUAGCAAAUCUGUUAAACCCGACCUCAGUUCGGAUUGUAGGCUGCAACUCGCCUGCAUGAAGCCGGAAUCACUAGUAAUCGCCGGUCAGCCAUACGGCGGUGAAUACGUUCCCGGGCCUUGUCCACACCGCCCGUCACUGUGAAAGAAUCGAGAGCAAUCGAAAUUGUUAGUUUAACCGUACCCCUUCGGGGUAACCCCGGAGGGUAAGGAGAACGGCACUUACAUUGAGCUUGGUAAUUUUACAG
rnacentral:rRNA from 1 species